rnacentral:rRNA from 1 species
AGAGUUUGAUCCUGGCUCAGAUUGAACGCUGGCGGCAUGCUUUACACAUGCAAGUCGAACGGCAGCACGGGGGCAACCCUGGUGGCGAGUGGCGAACGGGUGAGUAACACAUCGGAACGUGUCCAGUUGUGGGGGAUAACCCAUCGAAAGGUGGGCUAAUACCGCAUGAUCUGGCAACAGCAAAGCAGGGGACCGUAAGGCCUUGUGCGAUUGGAGCGGCCGAUGUCCGAUUAGCUAGUUGGUGGGGUAAAGGCCCACCAAGGCGACGAUCGGUAGCUGGUCUGAGAGGAUGAUCAGCCACACUGGGACUGAGACACGGCCCAGACUCCUACGGGAGGCAGCAGUGGGGAAUUUUGGACAAUGGGGGCAACCCUGAUCCAGCCAUGCCGCGUGAGUGAAGAAGGCCUUCGGGUUGUAAAGCUCUUUCGGUGGGAACGAAACGGUUACAGCUAACACCUGUGACUAAUGACGGUACUCACAGAAGAAGCACCGGCUAACUACGUGCCAGCAGCCGCGGUA